GCAAUGUCGCUUAAGUCAGUUGUUUUAUUUUUUCUGCUAAUCAAAGUAGAAAGGCUUAAAUAGAAUGAAGAAAAUAAUCUAAAAGGCAUCAAUGUAUUAUCACAUUAUUAUAAAUGUUUUAAAGACUCAAACAAAUAUUAAUAAUCAUAAAUUUAUCCAGUUACAGAAGUCAGGACAAUGAUGAAAUCAAAACCUAUUUUCAUGAAAUGAAAAAUGGCUUCAAGAAUGAAAUCUCCUGAAUCUAAGAGAAAAUUAUUGGAAUUUAAAAAGACAUGUAAAAGAAUUUGUUAUAUCAUUUGCUUGGGUCACCAUAAAUGCGGUAAAGUGGUACGACAAUAAGGCCGUUCAUUUGAUGAGCAACGUUUUGCGAAGUUGAACCAAUAGACAUAGUGAAAAGGUGGGACAAAAGGAUAAACAGAAUUAUUGAUAUACAAUGACCAAAUAUAGUGAAAACAUACAACUAACACAUGGGUGGACUAGAUUUGGUUGAUUCGUUGAUAGCGUUGUAUCGAAUUUAAGAAUAUAUAAGAAUAAAAAUUCGAUCAAAGAAGUGGUACCACCGCAUUAUGUUUCACCUCUUAGAUUUGACGAUGGUCAAUGCUUGGCUCUUAUAUAAGCGAGAUUCCUCAUCGCAUUCUGAACACAAAGGAACCUAAUAGAAAAGGUGGCGUCCUACUUCAAAUGAUGUAUAUAAACAAUUGCAAAAUAAAAGAAAAAGAGACCAAAUACAACGCUACCUGUAGAAGACGUGCGAAAAGAUGAAGUGGCACAUUGGCCAAUUUUUUCAGAUAACAGGGGACAUAAUGUAGGAUGUAAGCCCGGAUGUAAAGAGUUCCGAAAAUUAAAUGUUCCAAAUGUAAUAUUCAUUUAUGUUUAACGCCAAGUACAAACUGUUUUGUUGAAUUCCACGCUUAAAUUUUCAAACACAAAAGUGCGAAUAUUAUAGACGGUUGUGACCUGAAAGUCACAUAGUGAAUAUACUGCAAUAAAAUUGUUUAAACAGAAA